rnacentral:rRNA from 1 species
UCGAACGAUGAUCCCAGCUUGCUGGGGGAUUAGUGGCGAACGGGUGAGUAACACGUGAGUAACCUGCCCUUAACUCUGGGAUAAGCCUGGGAAACUGGGUCUAAUACCGGAUAUGACUCCUCAUCGCAUGGUGGGGGGUGGAAAGCUUUUUGUGGUUUUGGAUGGACUCGCGGCCUAUCAGCUUGUUGGUGAGGUAAUGGCUCACCAAGGCGACGACGGGUAGCCGGCCUGAGAGGGUGACCGGCCACACUGGGACUGAAACACGGCCCAGACUCCUACGGGAGGCAGCAGUGGGGAAUAUUGCACAAUGGGCGAAAGCCUGAUGCAGCGACGCCGCGUGAGGGAUGACGGCCUUCGGGUUGUAAACCUCUUUCAGUAGGGAAGAAGCGAAAGUGACGGUACCUGCAGAAGAAGCGCCGGCUAACUACGUGCCAGCAGCCGCGGUAAUACGUAGGGCGCAAGCGUUAUCCGGAAUUAUUGGGCGUAAAGAGCUCGUAGGCGG